rnacentral:rRNA from 1 species
AUGUAUGGCGAGUCGAGAUGGGGGAAGAAGGAGAAUACAUGGAAGGCCUUGAGGACGCUGCGUGCUCAGUCAGAACUUCCAUGGAUCUGUCUAGGGGACUUCAAUGAGAUCCUUUUCAGGAAUGAGAAGCAGGGAGGGCUGGCUCGGGCUCAGGGGUGCAUGGAUGCUUUUCGGGACACUUUGGAGAGUUGCGGUCUCGAUGACCUUGGCUUUGUUGGAGACCCGUACACUUGGAUUGAGGGCUAUACUUGGGAAAGGCUAGACCGAGCAGUUGCAAACAUGGAGUGGCGAUGUCUUUACCCCUUACAUAAAGUUGUAAAUGGGGACCCACGGCAUUCGGAUCAUCGUCCGAUAAUUGUGGAGCUAAAUGGUAGAUCCGACUUGCAGCAAGAGAUACAUGGUCCGGGAGUGUUCCGUUUCGAGGCAAGGUGGUUGCAGGAGGAUGAGUGUGUGAAGAUUGUGGAGAACACAUGGAAUGAUGCCUUCCUGGAGGUAGGCAGUACUGUAAGGGAGGGAAUUGCACGUGUGGGGGCUGAGCUGACUAAGUGGGAUAGAGAAGUGUUGGGGGAGCUGAAGGGGCGGAUCCGAAACGUUAAAAAGCAGCUGGAGGCAUGUAGACGGAGCCCCUUAAGCUAG